rnacentral:misc_RNA from 1 species
GAUGAAGAACGUAGUGAAAUGCGAUAAGUAAUGUGAAUUGCAGAAUUCAGUGAAUCAUCGAAUCUUUGAACGCACCUUGCGCUCUUUGGUAUUCCGAAGAGCAUGCCUAUUUGAGUGUCAUGAAAAUAUCAACCUUGACUUGGGUUUUGUGCUCUAGUCUCGGCUUGGAAUUGGGUGCUUGCCGCUUUUACGAGCGGCUCACCUUAAAUGUAUUAGCUGGAUCUGUCUUUGAGACUUGGUUUGACUUGGCGUAAUAAGUAUUUCGCUAAGGACAUUCUUCGGAGUGGCCUCGUUUCUAGGACGCUUGUCCGCUUUCCAAUACAAGUUCCACCUCGUGGACAUGACUUUUUAUUAUCUGGCCUCAAAUCAGGUAGGACUACCCGCUGAACUUAAGCAUAUCAAUAAGCGGAGGA